rnacentral:lncRNA from 1 species
UUAUUCCCUUUAUUCACAUGCGUAACGUUCGGAAAGUUAUAUAAACAACAUUUAAUAAAAGUAUUUUUAUAGAGGAUAAAGUGCCAGUUUGAAGGGGAAUUUCGAAGAGGACGGAAAAUUUUACCUUCCAAAUCAUCACUGCGCAAGAACGUUAAAAUAAUUACA